CCAAAUGCAUGUUCGAUGUCC
rnacentral:siRNA from 1 species